GGCCGCUGAGCUCUAGUUGCUGCUGCUCAGUGAGAUCGCAGCCGGCUCGGGGGUGACAUGCUGGGCUCGGGCGGCUCUGUGGACCGGGGGCGGCUCCGUCAGUUGUUGCGGGGAAGUGUGGCCGGGCUGUGCGAGCUGAAAUUACUGCGGGAGCGGCAGGAGGUGCGAGUGCGGCGGGCGCUGCGGGGCGGAGAGGACCUGGACCGGCAGCUGUGGGAGCUGGAGAGACAACUUGGAGAAUUGAGGCUGAGAGCGGAGAACGACCAGGAGAGCGCAGCAGAGUAUGAAGCCGAUGGUCCCGAAUCAUGUGACGUGUUCCUGGACCGAGCCCCCCGGGUGGGCCAGGCGGAGGCUCGGAUGCAUUAUGCCAGUGAGCGCCCAAAGAGCGCAGGUGACCUGGUUGUGGGAUCCCAUCACCCUCGUUCCUCUUCUUCUCGUCUUCUGGUGCCCCGCUCCAUGUCUGCCCCUUACCCUUCCCCUUCAUCCCCACCUCCCCCUCCCCCUCCGCCACCUCCUGCUCGCCGGGCUGAAGGCUAUAUCCUUUCUCUCCUCCGUCGCCAGCUCCGAGCUCCGUACCUGCGUUCCGUCUCUGCCGACCGUCCUCCCGCUCCAGCCCCGGCCCCAGUGUGUAGAAUGGCCAGCACCUCCUACACCCCAACUCACCGUGGCCCCCGCAGAAAGCACCCGCCUCUCUUAAAGGGCCACAGCGUGGAAGGGUCUCCACCAAAACCUCCAAGGAAAUGCCUUUCGGCAGAGGAGCCGCCGAGAAAAAGAGGCGGACGGAGGACACCGAGGUCACUCUCGGAAACGAGCCUAAGGGACCCUGCCCCGCCUCCAGAGGAGACCAUGGACCCCCGGGUCCCUCCAGAAGUGUGGCAGGGCUCCAGGGGCCACCUAGAUGGCUGGGUCAAUCCCCGAAAUUAUAAAGAGAGCUGGGCUAAUAACAGGGCUCGCACCGAGGGCUGGGCCGACCCACAGGGCUUCGUGCAGGAGUGGGGGGACCCUCGAGACCAUAUUCAAGAUGGCAACCGCUGCUACACCCUGGGGAGAGAAGGAAGGGCCCCGACCGCAAGAAUUGGCCCCCCCUGCAGGAAGUGGAGGUCCACGGCUGAGAUUAGUGCAGGGGUCCCAGAGGGGGAAGCCAGGGUGGGCUCAGAAGGCGAGGAGGAAGAAGAGGAGGAAGAAGGGGGCUUGGUAUGGCCAAUGCAGCUCCCUCCCCGGGAUGCUGAAGGGCGCCCCCAAAUGUUCAAGGUAAAAGCGUCUCAGGCCCUAAAGAAAAAAAUUAUGAGGUUCCACACAGGGUCACUCAAGGUCAUGACAACUGUGUGACCAGCAACCCCCCAAAUCCACACUGGGGGUCCCACAUGUACAGUCAUGGUAUAAACCAGUGGUCCGCAGGUUGAAGACCACUGGUAUAAACCCUUCUGCACUUCCUGUCUCUUAUCCCAUUGAAGAACACUACACCCUGAAGUGGCUGAUAUCAGGGAACAAUAGAGGAGACGGGUGUCGUGUUCCUUCAGUGCCGCCGCUGACUCCCUCAAUGCAUCAUGGCAGCUUCAAGGGGUUGUCCAGGUAAAAAACUUUAUACUGGCUCCAGAAAGUUAAACAGAUUUGUAAAUUACUUCUAUUAAAAAAAAAAUGUUAAUCCUUUC